UGAACGCUGGCGGCAUGCCUUACACAUGCAAGUCGAACGGCAGCAUGAUCUAGCUUGCUAGAUUGAUGGCGAGUGGCGAACGGGUGAGUAAUACAUCGGAACGUGCCCUGUAGUGGGGGAUAACUAGUCGAAAGAUUAGCUAAUACCGCAUACGACCUGAGGGUGAAAGUGGGGGACCGCAAGGCCUCAUGCUAUAGGAGCGGCCGAUGUCUGAUUAGCUAGUUGGUGAGGUAAAGGCUCACCAAGGCGACGAUCAGUAGCUGGUCUGAGAGGACGAUCAGCCACACUGGGACUGAGACACGGCCCAGACUCCUACGGGAGGCAGCAGUGGGGAAUUUUGGACAAUGGGCGAAAGCCUGAUCCAGCAAUGCCGCGUGUGUGAAGAAGGCCUUCGGGUUGUAAAGCACUUUUGUCCGGAAAGAAAUGGCUCUGGUUAAUACCUGGGGUCGAUGACGGUACCGGAAGAAUAAGGACCGGCUAACUACGUG
rnacentral:rRNA from 1 species